UACAGAGGUCUCAAGCGUUGUUCGGAUUCAUUGGGCGUAAAGGGUGCGUAGGUAGCGGGGUAAGUCAGGUGUGAAAUCUCGGGGCUCAACCCCGAAACUGCAUUUGAUACUGCCUUGCUCGAGUACUGGAGAGGAGAUUGGAAUUUACGGUGUAGCAGUGAAAUGCGUAGAUAUCGUAAGGAAGACCAGUGGCGAAGGCGAAUCUCUGGACAGUUACUGACACUGAGGCACGAAGGCCAGGGGAGCAAACGGG
rnacentral:rRNA from 1 species